GGGGCCAUAGCUCAGCUGGGAGAGCGUCUGGUUUGCAACCAGAAGGUCGCCGGUUCGAUCCCGGCUGGCUCCACCA
rnacentral:tRNA from 2 species